AAUACAACUGGUAUAAAUAAUACAACUAGUAUAAAUAAUACAACUGGUAUAAAUAAUACAACUAGUAUAAAUAAUACAACUGGUAUAAAUAAUACAACUAGUAUAAAUGAUAAUAUAGACAAUGUUCUUAAAUCCAAAAGAGUAGAAGACACAAUGUUUUUAAAUGAACUCAAGAAAAAUUUAAAAAAUGAAAACAAAAAAAACGAUAGAAGAGUAUAUAAAAAAAUAUUCAUCAGAAAACUUAGAACAUGAAGAAGAAGAAGAACGUAGUAGAUCUUCUUCAAGACAAAACUUUUUAGGUUCAAAUGAAAUUCUGUCUAAAAAUAUUAUAGAAAGCUCUUCAAUACAUGUUGAAAAUAAAAGUAAUACUAAUAAUAAAUUUAGAAUUAGUGAUAUAAAUUUAGUUGAUAAAAAAAAUGAAAAUAGUAGUAGUAGUAGUAGUAGUAUAACUGAGGGUGGUAAAGUUAUGGGUGAUAGAGUUAUGGAUGGUAAAGUUAUGGGUGGUAUUAAUAAUGUACAACAAUCUAAAAGUAUAUUUUCUUUAAGAAGUAUAAAUAAAUUAAAAAUGAACAAUAAUAUACCAUAUAAUAUUAUAGGUAAAAAUGAUGAAGAUGAACAAACUAAUUUAAUUAAUAAUUUGAUGAAGGAUGUACAUAAUAUAAAUAAAAACACAAAACAAUUUUUAUAUAACAAUGAACUUAUAGAUAAAUAUAAAAAUAAUAAAAAACAAAGCACUGAUAGUGUUUAUCACAUUAUUACUGAUAAUAAAAGUCCUAUUUACAUUAGUCCUAAGAGUAAUGCUAGUAUAGACAGUAAUGAAAGUUACAAAUAUACGAGGAGAUUGCCGUCUGCACCUGGAGAUAUUCAUAUGACAGAAGCAACAAUCAAUGUAAAUGAAACAAAAGAAAAGGAAAAAAAAGAGGAAAAUGAAAAGGAAAAAAAAGAAGAAAAAGAAAAGGAAGCAGUAGAAGCAGUAAGCACUGCAACAAGCACAACUGCAGGAACAACUGUAGGAACAACUGCAGGAACAACUGCAGGAACAGCUGUAGGAACAACUGCAGGAACAACUGCGGGAACAACUGCAGGAACAGCUGUAGGAACAACUGCAGGAACAACUGCAGGAACAACUGCAGG
rnacentral:lncRNA from 1 species